UCGAUAGGUGUUCACGUUCAGUUUCGUUCUCUCUGUUCGAUUUUCUUUGUGCUAUUAACCAAAUUCAAACUUAAUUUGAUACGUAAACAUUGUAGAGUGAUUUUUGUUACACUACAUCUCUGUAUAAUACUAUUGCUAGAUAUCGGGGCUGUUGUCCCAUCAGGUGAUAUCCAUGGAUCACUGAUUGGUAUUCCCUGUUUACAAUGAAUUCCUGAAAAUUUCAUACUAACCACAACUUCAGCAAUACAUUUACCAAAUGCAAAUAACAUCAGCUUAAUAACCAAAUAUUGUUGGUGAAUGGAAAAAGGUUCUAAACAACACAUUUCUAAAUUUGCAUCACAGACUUUAUGAGAAGUCAUGUCCUUUGAAGAACACGGACAAUGACUAUACAGUCAACAAGGUCCCUUGUUUGGUAACCUGUUGGCUGCUACCCUUUUAACUUCCUUAAACGGGCCCUCUUGAUUUAAGGGUAACUCCUUCGCUGCUUAUCAUGGACUUCAUCCAUUGGUGAAAACUGACGAGAGAAUGCUGUAAUUCAAGACUGAUUAGUUGUGUAGUUCUUAGAUAAAUUAAAAGUGCAUAUCUGGGCUCCCUUCUUUUCUGUGGCCCCGUUUCCCUAACUAACCACUAACCAACGCCCGCCGGUGGUCACUCACCCGCUGUGAAACCAGGAGGAGGGGAGGGCUCUGGUC